rnacentral:rRNA from 1 species
GAUGAACGCUAGCGACAGGCUUAACACAUGCAAGUCGAGGGGCAGCACAGGUAGCAAUACCGGGUGGCGACCGGCACACGGGUGAGUAACGCGUAUGCAACUUGCCUAUCAGAGGGGGAUAACCCGGCGAAAGUCGGACUAAUACCGCAUGAAGCAGGGGCCCCGCAUGGGGAUAUUUGCUAAAGAUUCAUCGCUGAUAGAUAGGCAUGCGUUCCAUUAGGCAGUUGGCGGGGUAACGGCCCACCAAACCGACGAUGGAUAGGGGUUCUGAGAGGAAGGUCCCCCACAUUGGUACUGAGACACGGACCAAACUCCUACGGGAGGCAGCAGUGAGGAAUAUUGGUCAAUGGGCGUAAGCCUGAACCAGCCAAGUCGCGUGAGGGAUGAAGGUUCUAUGGAUCGUAAACCUCUUUUAUAAGGGAAUAAAGUGCGGGACGUGUCCCGUUUUGUAUGUACCUUAUGAAUAAGGAUCGGCUAACUCCGUGCCAGCAGCCGCGGUAAUACGGAGGAUCCGAGCGUUAUCCGGAUUUAUUGGGUUUAAAGGGUGCGUAGGCGGCCUUUUAAGUCAGCGGUGAAAGUCUGUGGCUCAACCAUAGAAUUGCCGUUGAAACUGGGGGGCUUGAGUAUGUUUGAGGCAGGCGGAAUGCGUGGUGUAGCGGUGAAAUGCUUAGAUAUCACGCAGAACCCCGAUUGCGAAGGCAGCCUGCCAAGCCAUUACUGACGCUGAUGCACGAAAGCGUGGGGAUCAAACAGGAUUAGAUACCCUGGUAGUCCACGCAGUAAACGAUGAUCACUAGCUGUUUGCGAUACACUGUAAGCGGCACAGCGAAAGCGUUAAGUGAUCCACCUGGGGAGUACGCCGGCAACGGUGAAACUCAAAGGAAUUGACGGGGGCCCGCACAAGCGGAGGAACAUGUGGUUUAAUUCGAUGAUACGCGAGGAACCUUACCCGGGUUUGAACGCAUUUUGACAGCUCUGGAAACAGAGCCUCUAGCAAUAGCGAUUUGCGAGGUGCUGCAUGGUUGUCGUCAGCUCGUGCCGUGAGGUGUCGGCUUAAGUGCCAUAACGAGCGCAACCCUUGCCACUAGUUACUAACAGGUAAAGCUGAGGACUCUGGUGGGACUGCCAGCGUAAGCUGCGAGGAAGGCGGGGAUGACGUCAAAUCAGCACGGCCCUUACAUCCGGGGCGACACACGUGUUACAAUGGCGUGGACAAAGGGAGGCCACCUGGCGACAGGGAGCGAAUCCCCAAACCACGUCUCAGUUCGGAUCGGAGUCUGCAACCCGACUCCGUGAAGCUGGAUUCGCUAGUAAUCGCGCAUCAGCCAUGGCGCGGUGAAUGCGUUCCCGGGCCU